rnacentral:lncRNA from 1 species
UUAAAAUUUUUAGAAAAAACUUCAAAUAUCACCCCUAUAAUGCCAUAAUUUUUUUUUAGUACCCUUUAGUUUAAAGUGUAUUAAUUUAGUACCAUAUGGUUUCGCACUUUCUCACUUUCAUACCCUGUAGUUUGAAGUGCAUCAAUUUAGUAUCCUAUAUUUUUAUUUUUUUCUUUUCGUCGGCUCCUCUGUUAAUAUUUCGUUAAAUUAUAUACAAAAAACUUCAGAUACCCUACUUAGGUUUAUCGAAUAUUUACUUUAAUAUUCUUUAGUUUUAACUUUGUCACUGAUUUUUAUUUUCCUCUAUUAAUAUUUUGUUAAAUUAUAUACAAAAAACUUUCGAUACCCUACCUAGGUUUAUUAAAUUUCACUUUAGUACCCUUUAAUUUUAACUUUAUCACUGAUUUAACGAAAAAAAUUAGUAAAAUGGAUAAUAAAAAAGAAAAAAAUAAAAUUACAGGAUACUAACUUAAUACACUUUAAACCACAAGGUAUUAAAGUAAGAAAGUGUGAAACCACAGGAGCUAACUUGAUACACUUUAAACCACAGGAUACUAAAAUGAGAAAGUGUGAAACCACAUGCGGGGUAUUUGAA